rnacentral:lncRNA from 1 species
CACACAGGACGUCCGUCAGUACACACAGUGAAGGACCCUAAGAUCGGAUUUCCCUCGACUGGAUUCGUUUGGAUAUGAACUCCGGAAAGGAGAACUGAUGGAACGUUGGGUCGCACAAGGGUUGCGGAUGUUCCCUUGAUAUUCCCGACUUCAAUGGCGCUUGAUAUGACUCACAAGUCCGCCAAGGAAGAUCUCGAACUGGUUGCUUGAUAUGACUCACAAGACCAACUAGUUGAGAAGUGAAUUGCUCGGAUAUGACUCACCAAGACAAUCGAAAACAAGUUCUAAAGAGAACAGAGAGUUUAAACUCAGAAACUUAAUCCAAAAUGAUCUGAUUUUAUUAAUGAAAUGAAAUACUUAUUUAUAGUACAAGUAGGAGACAAAGGGGCCACUUGACUAGAAGUUUGAAAGACAAAUAAAAUUAAAGACUUUUGACUAGAAUUUUGAAAUACAAAGAAGAAAGACUUUUCAAUUUGCGGACUGGUCAAAGUGACCCUUCGGCUGGUUGAACCGCGGCCAGGAGCAGGACGGUCGCGGGCCGGUCCGUCUGUUCCGUCUUGUCCGUCUCCUGAACCAUCUUCGACCAUAGUCGUCCCAAGUCUUCUGAAAGAAGAAGAAUCUGUGCCUUAGAGAGAUUCGGAUGAUCAAAGUGCAUGAACUGAUCAAAUGGGUCGAUCAGUUCGUCAAUACGGUCGGUACGUUCCAAACGUGCGAGAAGAGAGAAGUCGCGUCCAGUUCCUAGUUCGGCUCGGCCUAAGUUGCUUCUGGUUUGACCGUCAGUCUGAGAUUGGCGAGUUGUCCGAGAGAGAGACGAUCCAGUACGGUCAGUUCGGCUGAUAGGUCGAGGAUCUAGUCUAAGCUCCUUCCCGUCCAUCCGUGGAUCGAUCCGGUACACAGCUCGACCUCGGUUGGGGUGAUGAACCUCGGUUGGAAUGUCCUGACCUUCCUGAUGGUCGAGUUCCUCGGACUGAGGCACAUCAUUCCCCCCCUCUUUAAAAGGAUUUGUCCACAAAUCUGGAUUAUCUGCAAGAAAAGGAGAUAGAUCAGAAACAUUAAAACUUGAAGAGAUUUCAUACUUACCUUCCAAAUCAAGCUGGUAAGCAUUAUCAUUGAUCCUUCUAAGAAUCUGGAAUGGACCGUCGACUCGAGGCAUAAGUUUGGACUUCCUUUCUUCCGGGAAUCGUUCCUUCCUCAAAUGAACCCAAACCAAGUCACCUUCUUGGAAAACCAACUCCUUUCGCUUCUUGUUGGCAUAUCUUUUGUAACCCUCGGUUUUGGUUUCAAUGUUGACUCGAACUUGUUCAUGAAGCUUUUUGAUGGUGUCCGCCCUUCUUUUACCAUCUGUACUAACUCUUUCACUCAAAGGUAAAGGUAAAAGAUCAAGUGGAGAUAAGGGAUUAAAACCAUAAACAACUUCAAAGGAGAGAACUUUGUAGCUGAAUGCAUAGCAUGAUUAUAAGCAAACUCAACAUGUGGCAAACAAUCUUCCCAAGACUUAAGAUUUUUCUUGACCAAAGAUCUAAGCAAAGCAGACAAAGUUCGAUUAACAACUUCGGUUUGACCAUCAGUUUGCAGAUGACAAGUUGUGGAAAACAUCAAUCUCGUUCCUAACUUAGACCACAAAGUUUUCCAAAAAUAACUAAGAAACUUAGCAUCACGAUCAUAAACAAUGGUCUUAGGCAUUCCAUGCAAUCUCACAAUUUCCCUAAAGAACAGAUCAGCAACUUGUACAGCAUCAUCAGUUUUAUGGCACAGAAUAAAGUGAGCCAUUUUCGAAAAUCUAUCGACAACCACAAAGAUAGAGUCUCGGCCAUUCUUAGUUCUAGGCAAUCCAAGAACAAAAUCCAUAGAAAUAUCAAUCCAAGGAUGAGAAGGAAUGGGUAAGGCCGAGUACAAACCGUGAUUGGAUGCUUUGGCUUUGGACUUCUUGCACACCACACAUCGGCCACAAAUUCUCUCUACGUCUUUCAUCAAGCUAGGCCAGUAGAAAUGAUCAUACACGGCCUUGUAUAUCUUCUUGAUUCCAAAGUGUCCCAUAAGACCUCCUCCAUGAGAUUCCCUGAGAAACAACUCCCUCAAAGAACAUUGGGGCACACACAAAUGGUUAUCCUAGAAAAGAAAACCCGAAUUUCGAUAAUACUUGCCAUAAGCCACUCUGGAACACUUGUUGAAAAUUUCUUUAAAAUCCGGAUCAGAAGCAUACAAGUCUUUGAAAAAUUCAAAACCGAGAAGUUUCGUUUCGAGGACUGAAAGAAGAGUAUACCUUCGGGACAAGGCAUCAGCCACAACGUUUUCCUUACCUUACUUGUAUUUGAUGACAUAAGGAAAUGUCUCAAUGAACUCAACCCAGCGGGCAUGCCUCUUGUUCAGCUUCUGUUGCCCCUUAAGGUGUUUCAGGGACUGAUGAUCCGUGUGGAUAACAAACUCCUUAGGCCACAGAUAGUGUUGCCACGUUUGAAGAGCUCUUACCAAAGCAUACAACUCCUGAUCAUAAGUUGGGUAGUUGAGUGUGGCGCCUCCAAGCUUCUCACUGAAGUAAGCAAUAGGCUUUCUAUCCUGCAUCAAAACUGCACCAAUACCAACACCCGAAGCAUCACAUUCGAUCUCAAACGUUUUAGAAAAGUCAGGAAGAACAAGUAAAGGGGCAUUAGUCAACUUCCCUUUAAGGAUUUGGAAGGCUUCUUCCUGAGCUUGUUCCCAUUUGAACCCAACAUUCUUUUUAAUGACUUCGGUCAAUGGGGCCGCUAUGGUACUGAAAUCUUGGACGAACCGUCUAUAGAACCCGGCAAGGCCGUGGAAGCUCCUUACUUCACUCACGUUCGUUGGACUUGGCCAGUCUCGGAUGGCUUUGAUUUUCUCCUUGUCCACUCUAAGUCCUUCAGCACCUACAACAAAACCUAAGAAGACCACAUGAUCUGUGCCAAAAGAACACUUUCCAAGGUUAGCAAACAAAUGUUCCUUUCUAAGAACUUCAAGGACAGAUUUCAAAUGUUUCUUAUGUUCAUCCAUGUUCUUGCUGUAGAUAAGAAUAUCAUCAAAGUAAACUACCACAAAAUGACCAAUGAAUGCUCUCAAGAUAUGGUUCAUCAAUCGCAUGAAAGUGCUAGGUGCAUUAGUAAGACCAAAUGGCAUAACUAACCAUUCAUACAAUCCUAGCUUGGUUUUAAAUGCAGUUUUCCAUUCAUCACCUUCUUUCAUUCGGAUUUGGUGAUAGCCACUUUUCAAAUCUAUCUUAGAAAAGACACAUGAACCGUAAAGUUCAUCAAGCAUGUCGUCUAGUCUAGGAAUGGGAUGCCUAUACUUUACCGUAAUGUUGUUGAUGGCACGGCAGUCCACACACAUGCGCCAUGAUCCAUCCUUUUUGGGGACAAGUAGAACUGGAACGGCACAAGGACUGAGGCUUUCCCUGAUGUAACCUUUCUCCAUAAGGUCUCCAAUUUGUUCUCAAGUUCCUUGGUCUCCACCGGAUUGGUUCUGUAAGCUGGCCGGUUAGGUAGAGACGCACCCGGAACAAAGUCAAUCUGAUGUUCAAUCCCUCGUACUGGCGGCAAACCCUUUGGGUUUUCAUCUGGAAAGACAUCCGAAUAUUCCUGCAAGACAUCUAGCAAAUCACUCGGAACUUCCGGUGCAAGGUUAGAAGAAGUAGAAGCCAUCAGAGAUUCCUUGUACACAAGUAAAACAAAGGGCUUUUGAGAGUGAAGAGACUUCUUAACCUGACUUUGUUUGACAAAGAAGUUGGAGUUCCGGGUUGAGGACUCAGGUUUGUCUGGUUUGGUCUCUUGAUCACAGUUCUUUUUAAGUUGGAGCUGGUCUUCCUUUAUGGUCAAAGGAGUGCCGGUUUGUGUAACCAUCAUGGACGGUUCUUUUAUCAAACUGCCAUGGACGUCCCAACAGAACGUGACAAGCAUCCAUGGGAAGGACGUUGCACACAAUCUCGUCUUCAUAACGACCAAUGGUGAGAGGGAUCGUGACUUGCUCCUUAACAUACUGUUCACCAGUUUCAUUGAGCCAUUCCAACCUGAAAGGACGAGAAAGAGGUCGAGUAGCUAGACCUAAUUUCCUGACAAGAGUAUCACUAGCAACGUUAGUACAACUCCCACCAUCAAUGAUCAAGGAACAAACUUUUUCAGAGAUUAAACAACGAGAAUGAAAGAGAUUCUCCCUUUGUUCUUUUCAUCGGUUUUGGGCUGAACACUCAAGGAACGUCUAGUGACCAGUAGUGGUCCAUGAGCUGGAUAGUCAAAGCUAUCUUCAUCAUCAAAGAUCGGCUCAGAAUCUGGAUCAAAGGACGGGUCAUGGUCUUUGUCCGUGUGGCCGUUCGCGGGGCCGUCCGUUUUAUCGAAGAUGGGAUCGUUCCAUGCUUGCCUAGCCACAAGUAAUGGUCCGUGAUGUGGGUAGUCAAAAGACUCCUCUUCCUCAUCAAAGAUAGGACCAAGAUCCUCCUUGUCUUCUUGUUCAUCCUCGGACUCAACUUCACCAUUUUCCAAGAGAAUCAUCACACGCUGGUUUGGACAGUUCUUGGCAUAAUGUCCUAGCCCUUGACAUUUGAAACAUCUAAUGUGUCUUGCUCGGCUUGAGUCGUCUACUGCUUUUCCUUUGUCAUCACGAGUGGAAACAUUAGUUUUAAAGGCAGUAUGUGUUGUGAUAGGAGACUUACCUUUGUCUUGAUAGCUUGGCUUAGGAGCAUAGGCCGGUUUAGGAGAGUAGGCCGGCUUAGAAGUAGUGACCGGUUUUGAGAAACUCCUUCUCUUGAGUUGUUGCUCGAUCAAGAUGGCUUUGUGUAGCAUCUGUUCCACACUUCCAUACUCUUGAAGCUCCAUACGAUCUUGGAUGUCACGGUUGAGACCUGAAAGAAAGCGAGCCAUAGUGGCGUCCAAAGGUUCAUCCGUGUCUGUUUUGGUCAUCAAAACUUCCAUCUCUUGAUAAUAGUCUUCCACAGAUUUGGUUCCUUGAAGCAAACGUCUUAGCUUCUGGUGAAGGUCACGGUGAUAAUGGGUUGGCACGAAUCGUUUCCUCAUCAACAAGGUAAGCUCAUCCCAUGUCUCAAUCGGCCGCUCACCUGUUCUCCUCCUGUGGGUCAACACUUGAUCAUACCAGUUAAUAGCAUAGCCAGAGAAUUCAGUGGCCGCAAGCCUUACUUUUCUAAGUUCAGAAUAGUUUUGACAAUCAAAGACAUGCUCAAUUUUUCUUUCCCACUCUAGAAAAGCAUCAGGGUUAUUUUUACCAUCAAAAGGUGGAAUUUUUAAUUUCAAUCCGUUCAAACUAUCAUCAGUACGAUUGUUUCUAGCAAAUGGAUUGACAUCACCUGGGUUUCGAGUUCUAUGACCUCUUCUAGACCGGUAAGCGGAUCUGACCUCGUCCUCUUCGGCGUCCUCAUCAGGAAACUCAUCAUCUGACCUGGUAUUCCUUCGCGGCUGAUGGUUCUUGUCCUUGAUCUCGGAUGGGACUGACUUACUUGAAGUUUGUCAAGCCUUUGAUGGAUCUGCUCUAGACCUGUGUUUAUAAGGUUAGAAAAAGAAUCAUUCAAAGCUCGCAUCUGAAGAUUAGACAGUCCAGCAACUGAAUUUCCGGGACGGUUUUGUUCUUCAUGGCUACUCAUGGUUCCUGAAAUUUUCUUAAACACAAAACGUUAGGAUUAAAAAACUCACACUCUCAAGUGUUUGUUCCUCACCCACACACGUGUUUCUCUCGAUUUAAAAGUGAUCACUCAAGUUUCCACUCAAAGUUCUAUGAAGAACAGAUCUCGGAAUCUGGAUGGCCAAACUUAAGCAAAACACACAGGAACUUUAAAGAUAGAAAGAUAAGAGAUUUGUUUUGAAAGAAUCCGUUUUAACCUCCUCAAAGGCUGGAUUUCUCCUCAGCCAGCAGGCUUCCUCUUCCACCACCAAUCCACAAAGAAACUCUUUCUUUUUUUUUUCUUUUUUUUUUUUUUUUUUUUAUAAUAUGGAUCUUGCUUUUUUUUUUUUUUUUUUUUAUAAGUGGAUGGUAUUGAGGGCCCGGAUUCAAGAUAGACAGAUGAAGAAGUGUUUAGAAGAAAAUGGAAGAUGAGAAGAUGGAUCGAGAUAGAGAAUACCAGAAGAGUGGCUCUGAUACCACUUGAAGGACCCUAAGAUCGGAUUGCCCUCGACUGGAUUCGUUUGGAUAUGAACUCCGGAAAGGAGAACUGAUGGAACGUUGGGUCGCACAAGGGUUGCGGAUGUUCCCUUGAUAUUCCCGACUUCAAUGGCGCUUGAUAUGACUCACAAGUCCGCCAAGGAAGAUCUCGAACAGGUUGCUUGAUAUGACUCACAAGACCAACUAGUUGAGAAGUGAAUUGCUCGGAUAUGACUCACCAAGACAAUCGAAAACAAGUUCUAAAGAAAACAGAGAGUUUAAACUCAGAAACUUAAUCCAAAAUGAUCUGAUUUUAUUAAUGAAAUGAAAUACUUAUUUAUAGUACAAGUAGGAGACAAAGGGGCUACUUGACUAGAAGUUUGAAAGACAAAUAAAAUUAAAGACUUUUGACUAGAAUUUUGAAAGACAAAGAAGAAAGACUCUUCAAUUUGCGGACUGGUCAAAGUGACCCUUCGGCUGGUUGAACCGCGGCCAGGAGCAGGACUGUCGCGGGCCGGUCCGUCUGUUCCGUCUUGUCCGUCUCCUGAACCAUCUUCGACCAUAGUCGUCCCAAGUCUACUGAAAGAAGAAGAAUCUGUGCCUUAGAGAGAUCCGGAUGAUCAAAGUGCAUGAACUGAUCAAAUGGGUCGAUCAGUUCGUCAAUACGGUCGGUACGUUCCAAACGUGCGACAAGAGAGAAGUCGCGUCCAGUUCCUAGUUCGGCUCGGCCUAAGUUGCUUCUGGUUUGACCGUCAGUCUGAGAUUGGCGAGUUGUCCGAGAGAGAGACGAUCCAGUACAGUCAGUUCGGCUGAUAGGUCGAGGAUCUAGUCUAAGCUCCUUCCCGUCCAUCCGUGGAUUGAUCCGGUACACAGCUCGACCUCGGUUGGGGUGAUGAACCUCGGUUGGAAUGUCCUGACCUUCCUGAUGGUCGAGUUCCUCGGACUGAGGCACAUCACACAGGACGUCCAUCAGCACACAAAGGACGUCUGUGGCUGUCCGUCAGUACACACAGGACGUCUGUGGCCGUCCGUCAGCACACACAGGACGUCCGUCAAUACACACAGGACGUCCGUGGCUGUCCGUCAGCACACACAGGACGUCCGUCAGCACAUGCAGGACGUCCGUGGCUGUCCGUGUGUGUCCGUGUGUCCGUCAGUACACACAGGACGUCCGUCAGUACACAAAGGACGUCCGUCAGCACACAAAAGGACGUCCGUGGCCGUCCGUCAGUACACACAGGACGUCCGUGGCCGUCCGUCAGCACACACAGGACGUCUGUCAGUACCCACAGGACGUCCGUGGCCGUCCGUCAGCACACACAGGACGUCCGUCAGCACACGCAGGAUGUCCGUGGCUGUCCGUGUGUGUCCGUGUGUCCGUCAGUACACACAGGACGUCCGUCAGCA